GACGAACGCUGGCGGCGUGCUUAACACAUGCAAGUCGAACGGAAAGGCCCUGCUUUUGUGGGGUGCUCGAGUGGCGAACGGGUGAGUAACACGUGAGUAACCUGCCCUUGACUUUGGGAUAACUUCAGGAAACUGGGGCUAAUACCGGAUAGGAGCUCCUGCUGCAUGGUGGGGGUUGGAAAGUUUCGGCGGUUGGGGAUGGACUCGCGGCUUAUCAGCUUGUUGGUGGGGUAGUGGCUUACCAAGGCUUUGACGGGUAGCCGGCCUGAGAGGGUGACCGGCCACAUUGGGACUGAGAUACGGCCCAGACUCCUACGGGAGGCAGCAGUGGGGAAUAUUGCACAAUGGGCGGAGGCCUGAUGCAGCAACGCCGCGUGCGGGAUGACGGCCUUCGGGUUGUAAACCGCUUUCGCCUGUGACGAGGCGUGAGUGACGGUAAUGGGUAAAGAAGCACCGGCUAACUACGUG
rnacentral:rRNA from 1 species